CUGAGCAUGGUAUAAGGUAAAGUAUCUUGGUCUGGGAGGUCAGGAACUCUGCCUUCCCUGGAUUCAUAACUUUGGAAAAAAUCACUGGACACUGGGUUAAUUUGGUGCCUCGCUAUAAACUAAGAAGAGAUGGAUCAGUUGGAUCUCUGAGGCCUCUGAUACUACAGUAAGUGGAAUCCCAAGUAUUGCCUAGGUAGGGGCAGGCACUGAGUGGAAGAGAGUGCUGACACCAUCUAUAUCAUCAGAAUGAGACAGCACAGCUAGAGAAAGCUCUCUGUUUUCAUAUGAUUUUCAGUGCACGUGCACCAUGUGUGGCCCUCUAUUGAAUCAUGAAACAUGUCAAGGAUGGUUAAUCAGUCUAUAACAAAGAUAACAAUAUCUUAAACAGUUUAAAAAGAAAGCUCAUUCAUCCUACACUCCUGGACUGUCAUCGUUCUUUUAAAAAAAUCUUCCUCUUUUCUUUUCCUUUUGUUAAUUUGUAGGGCAGCAGUUGUGAUUCCUAACAUGGGCAUGGCUUUACUGUGGCAUUCUAUCACCAGUGAGAUUGAUGGCAUGAGGUAUUUCUGCAAGCGCGUGCAAGCUCAUGCGUCAUCCAGUUCCAGUGACUGCCUUUUUAAUGUACUCCUGUAUGUUAGGAACCUA
rnacentral:lncRNA from 1 species